rnacentral:tRNA from 1 species
GCCUCUGUAGCUCAGUUGGUUAGAGCGCUGCAUCGGAAUCGCAGCGCCGCAGGUUCAAUUCCUGCCAGAGGGC